CUGUGCCGACAGCACUUGCCAAAUCAUACCCUGUUCUAACAAGAAAACAUUGUAUACACGCUCAGAAAAUGUAUACCCUGUUCUAGACCGUGUAAAAUAGAUGCAGUUCUAGACCCGGGUUCUAGACUAUAUCUUAAACAGUUAAAUAAGCGAUCCUGUUCUAGACAAAUACUUUAUUUAAAAAAGACCCUGUUCUCACCAGCAGGGCAUGAAAAAGCGACUCUGUUCUAACCAGCAGGACAUGAAAAAGGGACCCUGUUCUAACCUGCAGGGCAUGAAAAAGUGACCC
rnacentral:lncRNA from 1 species